GAGGAGAGUGCACAUAGUAUGCUUAUUCACGCAUAUCGUUCUGGGCUGAGGCGAUUAAUACAGCCACAUAUAUUCGCAAUCGAGUGCCUACCCAGCCUCUUGCAGACGUCUUUGGACCGGGAAGCAAGUCAGCUUGAGACAUCUACGAGUUUUUAGAUAAAAGUUUCUAACAGUCAUUGCAGAAAAUUGGAGCCGAAGAGCAUUCCUUGCAUCAUGGUUGGCUAUUGUCUCGAGACAUCGUCUUUACAACAUGGCCACCAGAUCAAUUCUUAUCAGCAGAGAUGUCAAGUUUGAUGAGAAAUCUCUUUACAAGCUCCUGAGACUCCAUUGAUGAAGAGGACGUUUCUAAGGCAUCUGGGCCGCAGCAGUCCACGGCCAGCAGCAGCUGCGAGCUCAGCAGCCUCAGCCUCAGCAGCAGGUCGAAGCAGAGCAGCAGCCUCCACUCGAGCCCAGUCCUGUCACACUCGAGCAAGAAGAUGAAGCAGUUAUGCCAUUUGAUGACGGCUUCAUUUCUCCAGGUUUGUUUGAUGAACCAGAGGAGGAGUCUCCACUAGGGCAGCCACAAGCAGAUGGCUGCAAGAUCUCAGCAAGAAGUCGAUCCAAUUAUUCCUGGGAAACCUUAUCAAACUGUCACACGCAGUGGGGGAGUUAGCUAUUUAUUGCAAGCAACUCACGAUGCUCAAAACUC
rnacentral:lncRNA from 1 species